rnacentral:rRNA from 1 species
GACGGAGGAUGCAAGCGUUAUCCGGAAUGAUUGGGCGUAAAGCGUCCGCAGGUGGCAGUUCAAGUCUGCUGUCAAAGACCGGGGCUUAACUUCGGAAAGGCAGUGGAAACUGAACAGCUAGAGUAUGGUAGGGGCAGAGGGAAUUCCUGGUGUAGCGGUGAAAUGCGUAGAUAUCAGGAAGAACAUCGGUGGCGAAGGCGCCCUGCUGGACCAUAACUGACACUCAGGGACGAAAGCUAGGGGAGCGAAUGGG